UCCCUGGUGGUUCACUGGUUAAGACUUUGUGCUUUAUUGCCAAAGCCCUAGGUUCGAUCCCUGGUCAGGGAA
rnacentral:tRNA from 1 species